rnacentral:rRNA from 1 species
AACCGUGUACGUACAAGCAGUGGGAGCACCCUUUGGGUGUGACUGCGUACCUUUUGUAUAAUGGGUCAGCGACUUAUAUUCUGUAGCAAGGUUAACCGAAUAGGGGAGCCGGAGGGAAACCGAGUCUUAACCGGGCGUUAAGUUGCAGGGUAUAGACCCGAAACCCGGUGAUCUAGCCAUGGGCAGGUUGAAGGUUGGGUAACACUAACUGGAGGACCGAACCGACUAAUGUUGAAAAAUUAGCGGAUGACCUGUGGCUGGGGGUGAAAGGCCAAUCAAACCGGGAGAUAGCUGGUUCUCCCCGAAAGCUAUUUAGGUAGCGCCUCGUGAAUUCAUCUCCGGGGGUAGAGCACUGUUUCGGCUAGGGGGCCAUCCCGGCUUACCAACCCGAUGCAAACUGCGAAUACCGGAGAAUGUUAUCACGGGAGACACACGGCGGGUGCUAACGUCCGUCGUGAAGAGGGAAACAACCCAGACCGCCAGCUAAGGUCCCAAAGUCAUGGUUAAGUGGGAAACGAUGUGGGAAGGCCCAGACAGCCAGGAUGUUGGCUUAGAAGCAGCCAUCAUUUAAAGAAAGCGUAAUAGCUCACUGGUCGAGUCGGCCUGCGCGGAAGAUGUAACGGGGCUAAACCAUGCACCGAAGCUGCGGCAGCGACACUGUGUGUUGUUGGGUAGGGGAGCGUUCUGUAAGCCUGUGAAGGUGUGUCGUGAGGC